rnacentral:rRNA from 1 species
AACGAACGCUGGCGGCGUGCCUAACACAUGCAAGUCGAGCGAGAAAGCCCGCAAGGGUGAGUAAAGCGGCGCACGGGUGCGUAACACGUGGGUAAUCUGCCCUAGAGUCUGGAAUGACUCGCCGAAAGGCGUGCUAAUGCCGGAUGAGACCACGGGAGCUUCGGCUCCUGCGGGAAAAGGUGGCCUCUGUAUACAAGCUAUCGCUCUAGGAUGAGCCCGCGGCCCAUCAGCUAGUUGGCGGGGUAAUGGCCCACCAAGGCAACGACGGGUAGCUGGUCUGAGAGGACGAUCAGCCACACUGGAACUGAGACACGGUCCAGACUCCUACGGGAGGCAGCAGUGGGGAAUCUUGCGCAAUGGGCGAAAGCCUGACGCAGCAACGCCGCGUGUGUGAUGAAGGCCUUCGGAUCGUAAAGCACUGUCGCGAGGGACGAAUAAGGGUCGGGUGAACAAUCCGGUCCGAUGACGGUACCUCGAGAGGAAGCACCGGCUAACUCUGUGCCAGCAGCCGCGGUAAUAC